GAAAUGCGAUAAGUAAUGUGAAUUGCAGAAUUCAGUGAAUCAUCGAAUCUUUGAACGCACAUUGCGCCCGCCAGUAUUCUGGCGGGCAUGCCUGUUCGAGCGUCAUUACAACACUCAGGCCCCCGGGCCUGGCGUUGGGGAUCGGCGGAAGCCCCCUGCGGGCACAACGCCGUCCCCCAAAUACAGUGGCGGUCCCGCCGCAGCUUCCAUUGCGUAGUAGCUAACACCUCGCAACUGGAGAGCGGCGCGGCCACGCCGUAAAACACCCAACUUCUGAAUGUUGACCUCGAAUCAGGUAGGAAUACCCGCUGAACUUAAGC
rnacentral:misc_RNA from 1 species